rnacentral:rRNA from 2 species
UGGGGAAUAUUGGGCAAUGGGGGGAACCCUGACCCAGCAACGCCGCGUGAAGGAAGAAGGUUUUCGGAUUGUAAACUUCUGUCCUUGGUGAAGAGGAAGAGACGGUAGCCAAGGAGGAAGCCCCGGCUAACUACGUGCCAGCAGCCGCGGUAAUACGUAGGGGGCAAGCGUUGUCCGGAAUGAUUGGGCGUAAAGGGCGCGUAGGCGGCUCGGUAAGUCUGGAGGGAAAUUCCUGCUUUCAAGGUGGGAACUGCUUUGGAUACUGUCGGGCUUGGGUGCAGGAGAGGUAAGGGGGAUUCCCGGUGUAGCGGUUAAAUGCGUAGGGAUCGGGAGGAACACCAGUGGCGAAGGCGACUUACUGGACUGUAACUGACGCUGAGGCGCGAAAGUGUGGGGGGCGAACAGG